AAGUCGUAACAAGGUUUCCGUAGGUGAACCUGCGGAAGGAUCAUUAACACGUAUCCAACGUUAAACCCCCCGUGAACUUUUAUUGCGAACCACGCCUUUGUUAGAAAGUAGCAAUCCCUGGUAAAUCAUCGCCGAACAGUUUUGAUUCAGGGAUCUCUGCGAAGAGAGCGGUUGUAGCGCGAGGUAAGUGGCCUGGCAUUCCUCUGCUUGUUAGUGUCUGACAGUGUCACUAGCUCUGUACGAAUGGCGCAGUCACGAUCGCUGGAGGCCGACACGGCCGGCGACCGGGUCACCGGGCAUAGACCCCCCUAUCACCUUUGCAUGAAAACGGGCCUGCGCUUAAUUGUGCGGCCACCAAACUCGAACAACUGUUAACAAUGGAUAUCUUGGUUCUC
rnacentral:misc_RNA from 1 species